rnacentral:rRNA from 1 species
UACGUAGGGACCAAGCGUUGUUCGGAUUUACUGGGCGUAAAGCGCGCGUAGGCGGCUGCCUAAGUCGGGUGUGAAAGCCCCGGGCUCAACCUGGGAACUGCACUCGAUACUGGGCGGCUAGAGUAUGAGAGAGGGAGGUAGAAUUCCACGUGUAGCGGUGAAAUGCGUAGAUAUGUGGAGGAAUACCGGUGGCGAAGGCGGCCUCCUGGUUCAAUACUGACGCUGAGGUGCGAAAGCGUGGGGAGCAAACAGG